rnacentral:ncRNA from 2 species
GCCCCUUUUCUAUUGCACUACUGGGUAAAGAGAUGAGCAGUGCAAUAUUAAAAGGGCA